AUUGAACGCUGGCGGCAUGCUUUACACAUGCAAGUCGAACGGCAGCGCGGGCUUCGGCCUGGCGGCGAGUGGCGAACGGGUGAGUAAUGCAUCUGAACGUGCCCAGUAGUGGGGGAUAGCCCGGCGAAAGCCGGAUUAAUACCGCAUACGACCUGAGGGUGAAAGCGGGGGACCCAAAGGCCUCGCGCUAUUGGAGCGGCCGAUGUCGGAUUAGCUAGUUGGUGGGGUAAAGGCUUACCAAGGCGACGAUCCGUAGCUGGUCUGAGAGGACGACCAGCCACACUGGGACUGAGACACGGCCCAGACUCCUACGGGAGGCAGCAGUGGGGAAUUUUGGACAAUGGGGGCAACCCUGAUCCAGCCAUGCCGCGUGCGGGAAGAAGGCCUUCGGGUUGUAAACCGCUUUUGUUCGGGAAGAAAUCCUCUGGGCUAAUACCCCGGGGGGAUGACGGUACCGGAAGAAUAAGCACCGGCUAACUACGUG
rnacentral:rRNA from 1 species